rnacentral:rRNA from 1 species
CCUACGGGAGGCAGCAGUGGGGAAUUUUGGACAAUGGGCGAAAGCCUGAUCCAGCAAUGCCGCGUGCAGGACGAAGGCCUUCGGGUUGUAAACUGCUUUUGUACGGAACGAAACGGUCUCUUUUAAUACAGGGGGCUAAUGACGGUACCGUAAGAAUAAGCACCGGCUAACUACGUGCCAGCAGCCGCGGUAAUACGUAGGGUGCAAGCGUUAAUCGGAAUUACUGGGCGUAAAGCGUGCGCAGGCGGUUAUAUAAGACAGAUGUGAAAUCCCCGGGCUCAACCUGGGACCUGCAUUUGUGACUGUAUAGCUAGAGUACGGUAGAGGGGGAUGGAAUUCCGCGUGUAGCAGUGAAAUGCGUAGAUAUGCGGAGGAACACCGAUGGCGAAGGCAAUCCCCUGGACCUGUACUGACGCUCAUGCACGAAAGCGUGGGGAGCAAACAGGAUUAGAUACCCUGGUAGUCCACGCCCUAAACGAUGUCAACUGGUUGUUGGGUCUUCACUGACUCAGUAACGAAGCUAACGCGUGAAGUUGACCGCCUGGGGAGUACGGCCGCAAGGUUGAAACGUCAAAUGAAAUUGACGG